rnacentral:snRNA from 1 species
CUAGCCCCGAAAAUGGAUGG